rnacentral:rRNA from 1 species
GACGAACGCUGGCGGCGUGCCUAAUACAUGCAAGUUGAGCGCUGAAGGUUGGUACUUGUACCAACUGGAUGAGCAGCGAACGGGUGAGUAACGCGUGGGGAAUCUGCCUUUGAGCGGGGGACAACAUUUGGAAACGAAUGCUAAUACCGCAUAAAAACUUUAAACACAAGUUUUAAGUUUGAAAGAUGCAAUUGCAUCACUCAAAGAUGAUCCCGCGUUGUAUUAGCUAGUUGGUGAGGUAAAGGCUCACCAAGGCGAUGAUACAUAGCCGACCCGAGAGGGUGAUCGGCCACAUUGGGACUGAGACACGGCCCAAACUCCUACGGGAGGCAGCAGUAGGGAAUCUUCGGCAAGGGACGAAAGUCUGACCGAGCAACGCCGCGGGAGUGAAGAAGGGUGUCGGAUCGUAAAACUCGGUUGGUAGAGAAGAACGUUGGUGAGAGUGGAAAGCUCAUCAAGUGACGGUAACUACCCAGAAAGGGACGGCUAACUACGUG